rnacentral:misc_RNA from 1 species
GGGGAGAAGUCGACGGUGAGCUGCCUGUGCUCCAACAUUCGCCGCCUGAUGAGGCGCUCCUUGAGCUCGGUGAGGCUGGAGGUGCUCUUGGGGCCGAGAUCCCCGCCGUCGACGUGGAUCGGGUAGAGGCCGAGGUCGCUGAGGUUGUGCAGGCCGAGCACGUUGUGCCUGUCGUCGUCGUCGGCGUCGGCGGCGUAGCGGCACCCCGCGGCGGCGCCCUUGCGGAACUGCAGGAGGCGGGUGAAGCGCGUGAGGAUGAAGAGGAUGCGCGUGUGCGCCUGCUUCGGGAGGCCUGCGGGGAGGUCCUGCCGGCGGUCGUCGAGGCCCUGCACUACGCCCUCGCAGCGGGUCCACAGCUCCUCGGGGCUCAUCUCCGCGCACCGCUGUGCCACCACCAGCAGGUCCUCCAGCGCGACGCGACAGUCGUCCCGGUGGUCGCCCGACCGCGCCAGCAUGUCGACGAGGUCCCCCGCGAAGACGCCCAGCUCGCUGUCCACCUCCUCCUUGAGGCGGAUGAACUUGGUCCGGAUGGCGCCGAUGAACUCCUCCGGGGUGGUGCUGCCGAGCCCGCCGCCGCGCACCAUCUUGCGCAUCGCCGGCACGCCGCCGCCGCCGCCCCUCGAGCUCAGCUCGU